UUGUAAGUGUGUAAGGGCGUUCGGUGGAUGCCUUGGUACCAGGAGCCGAUGAAGGACGUGGGAGGCCGCGAUAGGCCUCGGGGAGCUGUCAACCGAGCUGUGAUCCGAGGGUGUCCGAAUGGGGAAACCCAGCACCCGUGAUGGGGUGUUACCCGCCGCUGAAUGUAUAGGUGGUGUGGAGGGAACGUGGGGAAGUGAAACAUCUCAGUACCCGCAGGAAGAGAAAACAAUAGUGAUUCCGUGAGUAGUGGCGAGCGAAAGCGGAGGAGGCCAAACCAUGCGCAUGGUGAUACCCGGCAGGGGUUGUGUGUGUGGGGUUGUGGGGUUGUUCGUCCCGGUGCUGCCGUGCUGGGGGUGAGUGAGAAAAUCACAUGUUAGGUGAAGUGGCCUGGAAUGGUCUGCCGUAGACGGUGAGAGUCCGGUAGCUGAAAAUGUGUGGUCUUGCCUGAAUGAUGCCCAAGUAGCAGCGGGCUCGUGGAAUCUGCUGUGAAUCUGCCGGGACCACCCGGUAAGCCUGAAUACUUCCUGGUAACCGAUAGCGGACAAGUACCGUGAGGGAAAGGUGAAAAGUACCCCGGGAGGGGAGUGAAAUAGUACCUGAAACCGGACGCUUACAAACCGUCAGAGCCUGUGAGUGGUUUCCACUGCGGGUGAUGGCGUGCCUUUUGAAGAAUGAGCCUGCGAGUUAGGGCAUGUCGCGAGGUUAACCCGUGUGGGGUAGUCGUAGCGAAAGCGAGUCUGAAUAGGGCGUUGAGUGGCGUGUUCUAGACCCGAAGCGGAGUGAUCUACCCAUGGCCAGGGUGAAGCAGCAGUAAGAUGUUGUGGAGGCCCGAACCCACUUCAGUUGAAAAUGGAGGGGAUGAGUUGUGGGUAGGGGUGAAAGGCCAAUCAAACUCCGUGAUAGCUGGUUCUCCCCGAAAUGCAUUUAGGUGCAGCGUUGCGUGUUUCUUACCGGAGGUAGAGCUACUGGAUGGCGGAUGGGCCCUAUCAGGUUACUGAUGUCAGCCAAACUCCGAAUGCCGGUAAGUGAGAGCGUGGCAGUGAGACUGCGGGCGAUAAGGUUCGU
rnacentral:ncRNA from 1 species